rnacentral:tRNA from 1 species
GCGAGAGUGGCGAAACGGGUAUACGCACUAGAUUUAGGAUCUAGCCCGCAAUGCGGUUGGGGGUUCGAGUCCCCCCUCUCGCACCA